UACGGGGGGGGCAAGCGUUGUUCGGAAUUACUGGGCGUAAAGGGCGCGUAGGCGGCCUUCUAAGUCGGACGUGAAAUCCCUCGGCUCAACCGAGGAACUGCGUCCGAUACUGGAGGGCUUGAAUCCGGGAGAGGGAUGUGGAAUUCCAGGUGUAGCGGUGAAAUGCGUAGAUAUCGGGAAGAACACCAGUGGCGAAAGCGAUCUACUGGGCCAUAACUGACACUGAGGGACGAAAGCUAGGGGAGCGAAAGGG
rnacentral:rRNA from 1 species